AUACUUAUCUGUCAUGGAAAAUACCGGGUUCACAAAGGUGUUUUUCCCCUGGGGAGGCUUAUCCAUUGCACUCUGGAUAUGCUGACCCCUGCGAUUUCCCUAAAUGUGCGAAAUUCGACUGCAUAAUUUGUGGUAGUGGAGGACUGUGUUCUCGCUUACCUCUG